AUGGGGGGACCAUCCUCCAAGGCUAAAUACUCCUGACUGACCGAUAGUGAACCAGUACCGUGAGGGAAAGGCGAAAAGAACCCCGGCGAGGGGAGUGAAAAAGAACCUGAAACCGUGUACGUACAAGCAGUGGGAGCACGCUUAGGCGUGUGACUGCGUACCUUUUGUAUAAUGGGUCAGCGACUUAUAUUCUGUAGCAAGGUUAACCGAAUAGGGGAGCCGAAGGGAAACCGAGUCUUAACUGGGCGUUAAGUUGCAGGGUAUAGACCCGAAACCCGGUGAUCUAGCCAUGGGCAGGUUGAAGGUUGGGUAACACUAACUGGAGGACCGAACCGACUAAUGUUGAAAAAUUAGCGGAUGACUUGUGGCUGGGGGUGAAAGGCCAAUCAAACCGGGAGAUAGCUGGUUCUCCCCGAAAGCUAUUUAGGUAGCGCCUCGUGAAUUCAUCUCCGGGGGUAGAGCACUGUUUCGGCAAGGGGGUCAUCCCGACUUACCAACCCGAUGCAAACUGCGAAUACCGGAGAAUGUUAUCACGGGAGACACACGGCGGGUGCUAACGUCCGUCGUGAAGAGGGAAACAACCCAGACCGCCAGCUAAGGUCCCAAAGUCAUGGUUAAGUGGGAAACGAUGUGGGAAGGCCCAGACAGCCAGGAUGUUGGCUUAGAAGCAGCCAUCAUUUAAAGAAAGCGUAAUAGCUCACUGGUCGAGUCGGCCUGCGCGGAAGAUGUAACGGGGCUAAACCAUGCACCGAAGCUGCGGCAGCGACGCUGAUGCGUUGUUGGGUA
rnacentral:rRNA from 1 species